rnacentral:rRNA from 1 species
AGUAAAUUGGUUAAGUUAGAAAGGGCGCACGGUGGAUGCCUUGGCACUAGGAGCCGAAGAAGGACGGGACUAACACCGAUAUGCUUUGGGGAGCUGUACGUAAGCGUUGAUCCAGAGAUUUCCGAAUGGGGGAACCCACUAUCUUUAGUCGGAUAGUAUCCUUACGUGAAUACAUAGCGUGAGGAAGGCAGACCCAGGGAACUGAAACAUCUAAGUACCUGGAGGAAGAGAAAGAAAAAUCGAUUUCCUGAGUAGCGGCGAGCGAAACGGAAAGAGCCCAAACCAAGAAGCUUGCUUCUUGGGGUUGUAGGACACUCUAUACGGAGUUACAAAAGAAAGUUAUAAAUGAAGCGGUCUGGAAAGGCCCGCCAAAGACGGUAACAGCCCGGUAGUUGAAAUGGCUUUCCCUCCAGAGUGGAUCCUGAGUACGGCGGAACACGUGAAAUUCCGUCGGAAUCCGGGAGGACCAUCUCCCAAGGCUAAAUACUCCCUAGUGACCGAUAGUGAACCAGUA